ensembl:lncRNA
GUUUGGUGGUAAUGGUAGUAAUAGUGAUGUGGUGUUUGGUGGUAAUGGUGGUGUUUGGUGGUAAUGGUGGUAAUAGUGAUGUGGUGUUUGGUGGUAAUGGUGGUAAUGGUGGUGUCUGGUGGUUAUGGUGGUGUUUGGUGGUAAUGGUGGGGUUUUAGUGGUAAUGGUGGUAAUAGUGCUGUGGUGUUUGGUGGUAAUGGCGGUAAUGGUGGUGUUUGGUGGUAAUGGUGGUAAUAGUGCUGUGGUGUUUGGCAGUAAUGGUGGUGUUUGGUGGUAAUGGUAGUAAUAGUGCUGUGGUGUUUGGCAGUAAUGGUGUUGUUUGGUGGUAAUGGUGGUAAUAGUGCUGUGGUGUUUGGUGGUAAUGGCGGUAAUGGUGGUGUUUGGUGGUAAUGGUGGUAAUAGUUGCUGUGGUGUUUGGUGGUAAUGGUGGUGUUUGGUGGUAAUGGCGGUAAUAGUGCUGUGGUGUUUGGUGGUAAUGGUGGUGUUUGGUGGUAAUGGUGGUAAUAGUGCUGUGGUGUUUGGUGGUAAUGGUGGUAAUGGUGGUGUUUGGUGGUAAUGGUGGUAAUAGUGCUGUGGUGUUUGGCAGUAAUGGUGGGUGUUUGGUGGUAAUGGCGGUAAUAGUGCUGUGGUGGUUUGGUGGUAAUGGCAGUAAUGGUGGUGUUUGGUGGUAAUGGUGGUAAUAGUGCUGUGGUGUUUGGCAG